rnacentral:rRNA from 1 species
AUACGGAGGAUGCGAGCGUUAUCCGGAUUUAUUGGGUUUAAAGGGUGCGUAGGCGGGCUUUUAAGUCAGCGGUGAAAGUUUGCGGCUCAACCGUAAAAUUGCCGUUGAUACUGGAGGUCUUGAGUAUAGACGAGGUAGGCGGAAUGUAACGUGUAGCGGUGAAAUGCUUAGAUAUGUUACAGAACUCCGAUUGCGAAGGCAGCUUACCAGACUAUGACUGACGCUGAGGCACGAAAGCGUGGGUAUCAAACAGGAUUAGAUACCCUGGUAGUCCACGCAGUAAACGAUGAAUACUGUCUGUUAACGAUAUAGUGUUAGUGGAUAAGCGAAAGUGUUAAGUAUUCCACCUGGGGAGUACGCCGGCAACAGUGAAACUUAAAGGAAUUGACGGGG